UUGUAUAGGAAAUAUAUGCCACCUCCCUCCCACAUGGAAGGGAGAAGAUCUAUAGAUGUAUCUCAUGCUACCCCUUCUUUUUGCACAGAUGAGACAGAUUCAGGGGUGACAGUUCACAUCUGUGUUUGUUGGACCACACUGAUUCUACAGGGGAACAAUGAAAUACCUGCUGAUGCCUGAGAGGUGAGCAAGGCAACCUCCUCACACUUUAAUUCAGAUGGACAGAUGAGAACCUGCAGAUCCCAGCUGAAUAGCCUGAUUUCUUUAUCCAAACACUCCACCUUCCUUUGCAGGAUGACUUGGCUGUUUUGCUGAAAUGGCCCUCAGCUCUAUCUCUCUGUGAUCCCUCAGCAGCUGUGGGCCGGGUUAUUGUGCAUCCCAAGAAAUCUCGUUUCACAACGCAAGCUGCCAGCUCUGCAGAUGGGACUCCACACUUCUCUGUUUUUCUCAAACAUGACUCAGUUCUCUGCAAAAGCUGUUCUCCCAUGUAAAUCCUCGACCAAACCCUGUGUCUGAUGCCCCAUCUAGUGUUCAUCACAUACAGAUGCAGAGGGAGUCUGUGCAGAGGAAAGAGGUGACUGGAGAAUGAAUUCCCAGCAUUUUCAGCGGUAUUAAACCACCUUUAUAAAAC